AUUGAACGCUGGCGGCAUGCCUUACACAUGCAAGUCGAACGGUAACGGGCCUUCGGGUGCCGACGAGUGGCGAACGGGUGAGUAAUGCAUCGGAACGUGCCUUUCAGUGGGGGAUAACGUAGCGAAAGUUACGCUAAUACCGCAUAUUCUGUGAGCAGGAAAGCAGGGGAUCGCAAGACCUUGCGCUGAUUGAGCGGCCGAUGUCAGAUUAGCUAGUUGGUGAGGUAAAGGCUCACCAAGGCGACGAUCUGUAGCGGGUCUGAGAGGAUGAUCCGCCACACUGGAACUGAGACACGGUCCAGACUCCUACGGGAGGCAGCAGUGGGGAAUUUUGGACAAUGGGGGCAACCCUGAUCCAGCCAUGCCGCGUGAGUGAAGAAGGCCUCGGUU
rnacentral:rRNA from 1 species